GUCGCCCCCCCCCCGGGCCACCCACUCGCGGCUGUCCCAGCGCGGCCGAGACCCGGGCCCGCUUCGCGUUUGCUUCCCCGAAGACCGGGACACCCCGACGGCACGGAGCAGCCCCGGCCCAUCUCCACAGAGUCACCACGAGCCGCCGUCUCCCCACGUCGAGGAACAGAGUUUAAAGGGAGAACUGCGGCGCUGGGGAAUGCUUUUGACCGCCGACCGGGGGGGUCAGCCCUGGGCCGGCUUUGGGGUCAGGGAAACCCGAGGAAAGCGGCCUCUUUGGGAGACGCGAUCCCCGCUUUCCCCUUUUGCUGUCGUCUUUCUGUCCCUCCCGUGGAAGCGGGACACUCCCGCACCCCGCGGAUGGCAACGGAGGGAAACGAUCCUCUCCGAACUCCGCCGCCCCGUUAGUCUGCUUUCGGCCGCGACUUUCGCCGAGAAACCCAAAAGCGCUGAGAGCAGCACACCGUCAGUCGAGCAAAAACUCCAGCGUUUCGGAGGAGCUCUCAAAAUACAGCCCUACCUCCGCCCGCCGCCGAAACCGGACCCGUUAGAAGAGGCUGCGGUGUUUCAAAACGGGUCGGGAGCACACGUUCUGAAGGUGAAAGCUGUCCUUGGGAACAGGAGAGGGAAAGUAUCAGUCACACAGAGGAAGCUUCAUGGUUGAAGAAUUAGGAAAAACCUUGUAUGAAAAGCACACACAAAGAGGAGUGUUUUUGCUCUGUUUGUCUGCAGACCUUUGAACAUGAUGAAAGUCAGUCUUUCUCUUCUUCAGGAUUUCUCCAGCACUGGGGAUGUGCUAUUAGCAUACCUUGGGAAACCUUACUGAAGUGGGGAUUUGCAGACAACUGUUUACCCUGAACGGAUUGCAAGCAUUAGACAGUGCAAAUAUUCACAGUGGCACUGGUAACACCAAUAUCCCUAACCCUCUGAACAUGUACAGUAUGGACUGGAUAGUUCAAAAAACUGAAGAGGCUCUCAGACCAAGCUGAGUGUUUGUGCAAUUAAUUCAAGAUAAACAUUCUCCCAGCUGCCUAUGCAGUGCUUUAAUGACCAUUAGAGGCCCACUGCUGAGGAGGUUUGUGCUUCAAUUCCACAACCAUAUGAGAUUUCAGGCAGGUCAGUAGAACAGGCUUUAAGCUGAGACAGAUAAAGCCAAGUGGGAGGAAAUGGGAGAACACAGAGAAUAUUAUUUAUCAUAAAUGCCUGAGAGAAUUGGCUGGAGACCUGAAAUGAAUUUAGGGGCAGAUAAAGCUGACAGAUAAAUCUUAGACAAAUCUAGGAUGAGAGAAGAGUGUGAUUGGAGAAAUAAAAUAGAUGUGGUGAUGAUAGCUGCUGGAAGAAGAGUGAAGCUCUGCAGAAGUUCAAGCUCAUUUUCAGUAAGAUGUUUUAUCUUUGGGGAUUACUCCAACAGAAACUACAACUCCUCGGAGAUUUGCCUCAACACCACUAAAAAUGCAUAGGUCUGAUACUGCAAACAGGGUUCCCAUGAAGGGGCUAAACUCCUCAUGAAUCAACAUUGUGGCCUUCGGCAUUAACAUGGCUUUCGGUCGGUGGGGGCUUUAUCAGAUGAUGUAAUGUUUGUAAUCCGAUAUCCCACUCCACAAUGCUAAUGAGGACAGAAAUGCCAUGGAACUGAGCCGUGCCAGAGUGAUCUUUGCUUCCCUAUGAGCUUCUGGUUAAACAGUUUAAUGAUUUCUUAAAUUCAGAGCCUAGGACACAUAACUUGUCCCAGGAGUUUGAUGUUUACUAUUUAGUUAAAUCAGACCUGCUGCUUAAUUAUUAAAGAGGAGAACUUCAGCCAUGCCCACCUCUGUUCUGGUCUACCACUGAUGUGCACUUUCAGUUUUGAUAUGCUACUUAUUAUUUGUAAAUGAAAUAAAGAAAGCACUCAGAUUGUUUGUGCAUUCACAUCUAUGUAUGCAUACGCCUAAAGCAGGGAUAUCUGAUAACUUGAUUUUAACAACAAAGCAAGUCAAAGAAGGAGUUUCAACUCUUAACUCUGAAUUUCCUGGAGUUUUACAGAUUAAAUCAAAUCCUUAAGGCCAUUUUAUCAUAGGUUUUUCUGUGCAAGCAUGUGAUUUAUGUCCUCUUUUUAUUGCGUGAACCUUUGUCUCUGCUAUUUGAUUCAGUCUACCAACAGCUGUCAGCUGAUUUUAUUUUAGUAUCUGUAAAUUUUUGCACACAAAGCUAGACAAAUGCAAUGCAGGGGCAAAUUAAAUCGUGGAAUUUAAUGCAAAGUCAAGUUGCUGGGUGAACAAGAUUUUAACUGCUGAUCUAAACCAGCUCUGCAUGUAAACAAUGGAUCUUUGGUAUUUACUGUAUACUAUCUGUCUAGAUACAAGGAUUACUGUUUCCUCCUCUGCAGCAACUGGCUGGAGGUUCUCACUAGUAGCUGUUAUUAGUAGCAAUGACACAUUAAUUGAACUUCACUGCUUCCAGGUGUGUGGCACACUCCGGGGUCACCCAGUGCACUACAGUUUCAUGUGUAUUCAAUUACUGUAGCGUUAUGAAGGAAUGCAACAUGUCAUACAUUAAAAUGUCAAUUACCAGUUUUUAUGGGAUAGUGGGUAAAAUAAACCAAUCAGUUCUCUUA